GUGUAGACGGUACAAACGGAAGAUCGCUCCUGCAAUUAUUAAUUAGUACCUAAAAACAAUCGAAGAAUCCGGUUGACUAAUUGCCUGAGUUUUCUUCUUCCUUUCGAGAUGCCGGAUAAGUGAUAAGAUGGCGAGUGUGCAACUUUAAGGAUGCUGUUUGAACGGUACCAUUGCGAUACACAGGGCGAUUUGUGUCGUGUCGGGAGUGCCGUGUAAAAUUGCGCGCGUCGGGAGUGCCGUAUAAAGUGUCGGGAGGAUCAUAAUUAUUCGUGUUUUCGCGAGUGUUGUGCGAGUGCUACGGCUACAAUAGACCAAGAGAGGAGGAGGAGGCCCGGUGAGGCAUCGGGCAACAGCGGGGCAACUGUAAGAUCGAUAUGCUGUGUACUCCGCUCCACAACUGUGAUAUUGCACGUAUCGAUCAACCUAGGCCUAUAACUUUAUUGCUGUUGCUCAUCAUAUCGGUACUCCAUAACUACUGGAAGGCUUUCCAUUACCAUUGUUUCUACCAGAAGAACCACCUCCAUGGUUUCCAUUCGCGCCAGGAACACCGUAGUUAGUCGAGGGUCUUUCUCCAUUACCUCGAUUCCUAAAACCGUCUCCGUUGUUCGCAUUCGUAUCAGGGGAAUCAGAAGAAAGGCUUUAAUGCCGUGAUCGACGCGUUAAGAUGCUGUUGACGUGCACGUGAAAUGUCCUCCAAUUAUAGGAAGCCUAAACAUCGCGGCUUCUCCGUCCGCGCGUAGAGCUGAUGCAACAAACCCGCGUGACGCAAACUUGCAUAAUGUAUCUCUGUCUCAUCUAGCUUACCGCGCUGC